rnacentral:RNase_P_RNA from 1 species
CCAGCCGGCCGGACGGCCGCUCCCGCAAAUGCGGAAACGCAGCGGGGGAGGAAAGUCCGGACUCCAUGGAAAUACGGUGCCGGGUAACGCCCGGCGGGGGCAACCCCAGGGAAAGUGCCACAGAAAGCAAACCGCCCCAUUCGCGCCGAGAGGCGCCGGGGUAAGGGUGAAAGGGUGGGGUAAGAGCCCACCGCGCGACCGGUAACGGAAGCGGCACGGUAAACCCCACCGGGAGCAAAACCGAAUAGGGGCGGCGCGGGCUCGCGCCCGGCCGAUUUCCAGGUCAGCCGCCCGGGUAGGUUGCAGGAGACGCACGGUAACGCGCGUCCCAGAUGAAUGGCCGUCACGCGGGCGGGAAACCGCCGGCCAUACAGAAUCCGGCUUACAGGCCGGCUGGCAAU